rnacentral:rRNA from 1 species
CGCCUCGCGCAAACAUUCGAGGUCGUGCCUGCCCGGUGAUUAGUUUAACGGCUGCCGUAAUUGGUGCAAAGGUAGCAAAAUCUAUUGCCCCUUAAUUGGGGGCGUGUGAAUGGCUUGACGUGGGGCCGUCUGUCUCGGGUUGUAAGGAUGAAAUUUACCUUUAAGGUGAGAAGGCCUAAAUAGUGCGGUUGGACGAGAAGACCCUGGGAGCUUUACCGAAAGGUUUGGUUGGGGCAACCCGGGAGCAACAUCCCGACUUGAUCUGACAAGUGAUCCCCCCCGCGGGAAACUGGAAAAAGCUACCCCAGGGAUAACAGCGCUAUCCCCUUUGAGAGUUCCCAUCGACGAGGGGGCUUGCGACCUCGAUGUUGAAUUAGGGUUCCUUUAAGGCGUAGAGGCUUUAACAGUUGGUCUGUUCGACCAUUAAAACCCUACA